rnacentral:rRNA from 1 species
AGGAUGAACGCUGGCGGCGUGCCUAACACAUGCAAGUCGAACGUCCUGUCUCGCAAGAGGCAGGGAGUGGCGGACGGGUGAGUACCACGUGGGUCAUCUACCGUGAGGUGAGGAAUACCGGCGAGAAAUCGCCGACAAAACCGCAUAGGCUCGAUGCAAGUCGAGCAAAGCUCGCUCGCAAGAGGGAGCGCCACACGAGGAGCCUGCGCCCGAUUAGCUGGCUGGUGGAGUAAUGGUUCACCAGGGCGACGAUCGGUAGCUGGUCUGAGAGGACGAUCAGCCACACUGGGAUUGAGAACGGCCCAGACUCCUACGGGGGGCAGCAGUGAGGAAUUUUCGUCAAUGGGGGCAACCCUGAACGAGCAACGCCGCGUGCAGGAAGAAGGUUUUCGGAUCGUAAACUGCUUUUCUCGGGAAGAGAACGGACGGUACCCGAGGAAGAAGCCCGGCUAACUACGUGCCAGCAGCCGC